UGAAAUGUUGGGUUAAGUCCCGCAACGAGCGCAACCCUUAUCCUUUGUUGCCAGCGGUCCGGCCGGGAACUCAAAGGAGACUGCCAGUGAUAAACUGGAGGAAGGUGGGGAUGACGUCAAGUCAUCAUGGCCCUUACGAGUAGGGCUACCCACGUGCUACAAUGGCGCAUACAAAGAGAAGCGACCUCGCGAGAGCAAGCGGACCUCAUAAAGUGCGUCGUAGUCCGGAUUGGAGUCUGCAACUCGACUCCAUGAAGUCGGAAUCGCUAGUAAUCGUAGAUCAGAAUGCUACGGUGAAUACGUUCCCGGGCCUUGUACACACCGCCCGUCACACCAUGGGAGUGGGUUGCAAAAGAAGUAGGUAGCUUAACCUUCGGGAGGGCGCUUACCACUUUGUGAUUCAUGACUGGGGUGAAGUCGUAA
rnacentral:rRNA from 1 species